CAGGGUGGGUGGCUUGGAAAUACUCUCAACUCUUAGCAGUAUGCCAAAGUCUGGAGUUAUGCUCGGGUUAGGCACAGCUGUGUCUUUAUCAUAGGAUGUAUGCCUCAAGAACCCAAGAAACUGUCUUCCUGAAGGAAUG
ensembl:misc_RNA predicted gene, 27818